AUUGAACGCUGGCGGCAUGCCUUACACAUGCAAGUCGAACGGCAGCACGGACUUCGGUCUGGUGGCGAGUGGCGAACGGGUGAGUAAUACAUCGGAACGUGCCCAGUAAUGGGGGAUAACGCAGCGAAAGUUGUGCUAAUAUCGCAUACGCCCUGAGGGGGAAAGUGGGGGAUCGCAAGACCUCAUGUUAUUGGAGCGGCCGAUGGCUGAUUAGCUAGUUGGUGAGGUAAAGGCUCACCAAGGCGACGAUCAGUAGCAGGUCUGAGAGGACGACCAGCCACACUGGGACUGAGACACGGCCCAGACUCCUACGGGAGGCAGCAGUGGGGAAUUUUGGACAAUGGGCGAAAGCCUGAUCCAGCAAUGCCGCGUGUGCGAAGAAGGCCUUCGGGUUGUAAACCGCUUUUGUCAGGGAAGAAAUCCUCUGGGUUAAUACCUCGGGGGGAUGACGGUACCUGAAGAAUAAGCACCGGCUAACUACGUGCCAGCCGCCGCGGUAA
rnacentral:rRNA from 1 species